GAGAAUAAAGAACUAUUACACCAAAGAGAUAUGUGACAUUCUGAACCAAUAUAAAGCAUAGUCUAUCUCUGUUCUGCCUGAAAACUUGUUUUUUUUUUUUUUCAGUACGAAUAGUAACAUCCGAAUCAUUUAUGUAGUUGGUAGUUUCAUGAUAUAGAAGAAAUGCAGAUGAUUAUUAACAUAGAUUCAAACUUACUUUUUAAC
rnacentral:lncRNA from 1 species